AUUGAACGCUGGCGGCAGGCCUAACACAUGCAAGUCGAGCGGAUGAAGGGGGCUUGCUCUCUGAUUUAGCGGCGGACGGGUGAGUAAUGCCUAGGAAUCUGCCUGGUAGUGGGGGUUAACGUUCCGAAAGGAAGGCUAAUACCGAAUACGUCUUACGGGAGAAAGAAGGGGACCUCGGGGCCUGGCGCUAUCAGCUGAGCCUAGGUCGGAUUAGCUAGUUGGUGAGGUAAUGGCUAACCAAGGGGACGAUCCGUACUUGGUCUGAGAGGAGGAUCAGUCACACUGGAACUGAGACACGGUCCAGACUCCUACGGGAGGCAGCAGUGGGGAAUAUUGGACAAUGGGCGAAAGCCUGAUCCAGCCAUGCCGCGUGUGUGAAGAAGGUCUUCGGAUUGUAAAGCACUUUAAGUCGGGAGGAAGGGUUGUAGAUUAAUACUCUGCAAUUUUGACGUUACCAACAGAAUAAGCACCGGCUAACUUCGUGCCAGCAGCCGCAGUAACAC
rnacentral:rRNA from 1 species